rnacentral:lncRNA from 1 species
AGACGCGCGAGCAGGAGCGCAGUGCUGCACUACGGCACGACCGAGCGCGUGUCUCGCAUCUCUGCCAGAUUGACACCCAGUAACAGCCAGCUGGUCGACAUUAAGACAACCCAGCGGGGAGGUAAACUGAAACAGCAUAGCCAAGCGCGAGAUGACAUGAGCUGUGUUAUGAGAGACACUGUAGGCUGCCUACUACAUUAAACGCUGCGUUCAUGAUGGACAGACAUCCUAUAUAAACUAAUAAAACAGCCAUGAGGAAUAUGUGCAACUUAACGCACAAUUAUAUUCAAAGACCACCAAAUGACACAGACCAAAGAGAGGAGGCACUGCAGAGGUGAGGCAGACCUUCAAGGAAUAUCCAGCACAGGGAGGAAGCCGCAGGCAGCAGCAGCAGCAGCAAUGGUGCUACACACUCCUCAACACACACACUCACACUCACUCAGCCUCUGCGAUAUUGUUAUUGAGGUUUGUGGAAGGGGACGGCAGAAGGCUCUCAUAACAAGCGCUAUACUGUGAGGCUGAAC